GUGCUCGCUUCGGCAGCACAUAUGCUAAAAUUGGAACGAUACAGAGAAGAUUAGCAUGGCCCCUGCGCAAAGAUGACAUUUAGUUAGUAGGCAUGAGUCCUCCAAGGCAUU